rnacentral:rRNA from 1 species
AAUAGAUACCCUGGUAGUCCACGCCGUAAACGUUGGGCGCUAGAUGUGGGGACCUUUCCACGGUUUCCGUGUCGUAGCUAACGCAUUAAGCGCCCCGCCUGGGGAGUACGGCCGCAAGGCUAAAACUCAAAGGAAUUGACGGGGGCCCGCACAAGCGGCGGAGCAUGCGGAUUAAUUCGAUGCAACGCGAAGAACCUUACCAAGGCUUGACAUACACGAGAACGGGCCAGAAAUGGUCAACUCUUUGGACACUCGUGAACAGGUGGUGCAUGGUUGUCGUCAGCUCGUGUCGUGAGAUGUUGGGUUAAGUCCCGCAACGAGCGCAACCCUCGUCGCAUGUUGCCAGCACGUUAUGGUGGGGACUCAUGUGAGACUGCCGGGGUCAACUCGGAGGAAGGUGGGGAUGACGUCAAAUCAUCAUGCCCCUUAUGUCCUGGGCUUCACGCAUGCUACAAUGGCCGGUACAAAGGGCUGCGAUGUCGUAAGGCGGAGCGAAUCCCAAAAAGCCGGUCUCAGUUCGGAUUGAGGU